ensembl:lncRNA
AGUCCUAUGGGGAGUCCUAUGGUCCUAAAGACUGUCUUGGCUGACGGAACCUGUCGAAGGCUCACUCUCUAAUGGAGCGCCUGAAUCAACUGAGGAUCUCAUCGUUGAAGUCAAGAGACAGUGUGGUCUUCAGGGCAGUUUCAGACUUCAGUUUAUGGAUUCCUUGUUUGGGAAUGAGUUUCUUAACCUUACCUCAGUUUCAGAAGUAGCAGACAAAGGGACUCUUAAAGCUAUUGACAUGUCAAAGCCCACCACAUGGACAUAAAAAGAGUAACAGAGUUGGUGAAACUCAAGAUGGAAAAGACUUUUUCAUACAGAAGACAUGAAGUUGUUCGUGAUGCACCAAUGGUGGUGGCUUUCAUGGCAAGAGGGCCUGCUCUAUUUGACUUCCAUGAGAUCAACGCUGAGUUUAAGAGAAUUGCCACCAUCCCCCCUCAAACAAAGUUCCUGGCUCAGCUGGAUCUCCACUUGGACAACCUGGUGAAGUUGGUCAACAGAAGAGGAGAGCUUGGACUAAUACUGGAAAGAAUUGUGGCACAAAUGGAUAAUUGUGAAGAUGUUGAUGCUGGACGUGAGUGUGUCAAGGGAGUGUGUAUCUACAUGGGUGAAGACCCUGGCAUGCUUAUCCGGGAGUAUGUGGGCAUGGAAGAACGUGCCAUCAGUGAGACUGUUGAAGACACCACUGUUCGAAUUUAUCUUCUUAAAGAGCAAGCUUCAGCAGAAGAACAAGAGUUGUCCUUGCAGGCAUCAGGGUGGUGAAGAAUUUGGAUAAUGUAGCAUUUGCUGUGAUAAUGCUAUUUAGACUCAUGUAUGCAUUAAACCUUACCUACCCUGCUGACCUCCGCUACAACUUUGACGUUUUCCAGAAGGUUUUCAUGGAACUGGAUGGAGCUAAACUCUCUAAAGUUCUUGCUUUUAAAAACCAUCUGUUUCAUUGAGAAGUCAAAGACUGCACUUCUGCAAUUCUUUGCAGUUUUUCAUUUUGUGUUCACUAACGUUAUACUGCUUAUCUUUUUAUUGCUUUCCCCUCAUGUGACUGCAAUGCAGGAUGAUUUUUCCUUCUGGUAUCGUGUUGUAAGAAAUUUUUACUGACGAUUUUUAGCAAUAUAUUCUGAGUCAACCUUAAUGUCCUGCUUAUAUGUUUAAAAGGAAGAUUAAGAUUCAUGUAGGUGUUUGGUAUUAGUUAUGUAACAAUGUCAUUUAAGGCUCAACUUAGUUGAAAUCUUGUACAGGUAAAUACUUGUACAGAAGCUGAAACUGUUGUCAAAUAAUACACAAGUUAUAUUUGUGUAAAUCUGUUUAUUCAUAAAAGCAUGUUGCUUUUUUCAGGUAGUCUUAAUUUAGUUUAAAUUUUCAAUUGUGUAAUUAAUACAAAUGUUAUAUGUAAGAGAUGACAGGAUCAUCUAUAAGCACUUUCUUUUAUUUGCUGCUAAGGUCAGUUUUUUGUGAAAUAUUUGCAAAUGUUUUAAAUUUUUCUUUUAGUUAUUUCUGCAGGCUAUCUUUAAAAAUGUGUUACGUUUAUAUGGAUGUGAUUUUGGACUUGUUCAUGGCAGCUUGCUGCUUUCACUGCUGUUACAGUUUAAUAAAGGUGAAUUGUUCAGCAGCACUCAGUCUUUGCCUUUUUUGUCAAUAAUGAUCAGUUAAUAUUUAAAUUGAAAAAAUUAAGUAGGAUUUAAAGCCAUAAUUUGUGUUGCAGGAACAUAAUUGCAAUGUGUUUACAUUACACAAUAUCAUUGCGUACCACUGGCAAUCAAAAAUAAGUUGGUGUUAAACAUUAAAAUAUAUUGACAUUAUGCAAUGCAUUGAUAUUAUGUUAACAAAUAAAUAGUAUGUACAUCAAACAUGAUUUUUUUAAAGUAAUCUGAUGUAAAUAAAAUACUUUGAUUUGACAAGCAUUAAUUACUUAAGGGAAAGUGGAAAAUUAAGUCAGUCAUACUUAUUCAUAUUAUGUGGGACCGAUGUACACAAUAAAAUCAAGUAAAUCGAAAGAACUUUUUUUUUCAGUGUACCUGUUUUUCACAGGCUCACCUACACAGUAAGCCUGUCCUGCAGCAGUGGAAAGAUAUUAUGGCAUUAUGGCUGGGAUAGGUUAGGGUUGAUUUUUUAUUUAACUAUUUUAUGAGCAAUUGAAAAUCAAGAUGAACCUCAGCAGAAAAACCUGGAGCAGCGUUCAAUGAAAUUAAUAUGUUGUGAUGCCUACCCAAAAUGUAUUAACGUGUAGAGUUACUUACAAUACGGGAGCUGUUUACAUGAUUUUCUAUGUAAGGCAUAAUGUGCUGAAAAGUUAUCCUCCCUUUAAGCAAACUUCCGUCUGACUGGCUGUAUGGAAAGUAUGGGAAGGCAUAGGGAAAAAGUCAGCUUUAAUAAAAUGAGAUUUAUGCUGUAAUACUGUUGCUCAAACACAUGAGAACAUGAGAAGAUAUUUAGGACAUAAAUAUUCUGAAAUCAGCUGGACGAAUUUGGAUGGAACAUGAAAAUCCAUCAAAGUCUUCCCACUCACCAAAGCCAGGCACUCACUGGGAUCCAGAUCCUCAGCAUCUAUUUUACAGACCUCUGCAAUCUGUCUACAUCAAAUAUGCGUCUUCAACUGACCUCUAUUUUUCAUUCAGUAGGUUUGUCUGUUUGUGUGUGUGUGUGUGUGUGUGUGUGUGUGUGUGUGCACACGCUGUAGUUUUUAAAGGAGCUUCCUAACAAUCCACCCCCCCACCCCCACAAAAAAGAGAAAAACUACAUGAUUUUAAGAAAGACAAAUGCUAUUCAUCAUGCACAAGCUAACGCCU